rnacentral:rRNA from 1 species
ACGGAGGGUGCGAGCGUUAUUCGGAAUUACUGGGCGUAAAGCGCGUGCAGGCGGUUUGGCAAGUUUGAUGUGAAAGCCCCGGGCUUAACCUGGGAAGUGCAUUUGAAACUGCCGGACUUGAGUACUGGAGAGGGAGGUAGAAUUCCCGGUGUAGAGGUGAAAUUCGUAGAGAUCGGGAGGAAUACCGGUGGCGAAGGCGCCCCUCUGGACGGUGACUGACGCUGAGACGCGAAAGCGUGGGGAGCAAACAG